UCCAUCAGCUCAAGUUGGGUUUUGCAGCAGCAGUUUUCCAGUGUCCUUUUGGAACUUUCUAGUAAUGUGUGGGCUGAAUGAGUAGUUGGGAGGCUGCAUCUGGACUCCAUCAGUAGUUAGUGGCUAAGAAUAUUGGUGAGCUUCAUGGAUUUUGUGCAUUUUAUCUUCUACAGCCUUAAGGGUCCAUGUGAUUGUCGGGUGAAAUCUCGUGGGCAGGGUGAAAUGUGUACGGGCGGGUGAAAUUUCACCCACCCGACUGAAAACACAUCAAACGGGGUGACAUUUCACAUGUUUAACGCAAAAGGGAGCAGGUGAAAUUUCACCCGCUCGACAUUUUCAUCUCAUAGUCCGUCGCACCUCUCCUCUUCCCUCCGCAGGUCCUCCUCCCCCGCAUUCCUGCCUUCUCAUCAUCGCACCAGAGGCGUCACCGCUCUCACCGUCGGCUCUCCACUCGGCCGGGAAGAGGGACGCAGAGACAGGGCAGCAUCAACCACUGCCAUAGUUGCCACUCCUUCCCCUCUGUUACUGCCCCGUGAGACUCUCAAUAUCUCUCUCGCUUCUCCUCCUU